rnacentral:rRNA from 1 species
AUUGAACGCUGGCGGCAUGCCUUACACAUGCAAGUCGAACGGUAACAGGUCUUCGGAUGCUGACGAGUGGCGAACGGGUGAGUAAUACAUCGGAACGUGCCCGAUCGUGGGGGAUAACGAAGCGAAAGCUUUGCUAAUACCGCAUAAGAUCUACGGAUGAAAGCAGGGGACCGCAAGGCCUUGCGCGAACGGAGCGGCCGAUGGCAGAUUAGGUAGUUGGUGGGAUAAAAGCUUACCAAGCCGACGAUCUGUAGCUGGUCUGAGAGGACGACCAGCCACACUGGGACUGAGACACGGCCCAGACUCCUACGGGAGGCAGCAGUGGGGAAUUUUGGACAAUGGGCGAAAGCCUGAUCCAGCCAUGCCGCGUGCAGGAUGAAGGCCUUCGGGUUGUAAACUGCUUUUGUACGGAACGAAAAGCCUCUUUCUAAUAAAGAGAGGUCAUGACGGUACCGUAAGAAUAAGCACCGGCUAACUACGUGCCAGCCGCCGCCGUAAUAC